rnacentral:rRNA from 1 species
ACAGGGAUUGCCCCAGUAACGGCGAGUGAAGCGGCAAAAGCUCAAAUUUGAAAUCUGGCCCCUUCGGGGUCCGAGUUGUAAUUUGCAGAGGAUGCUUCGGCACCGGGCCCGUCCUAGGUUCCUUGGAACAGGACGUCAGAGAGGGUGAGAACCCCGUCUUCGGUCGGGAUUCCGGCGCCUUGUGAAGCUCCUUCGACGAGUCGAGUUGUUUGGGAAUGCAGCUCUAAGCGGGAGGUAAAUUUCUCCUAAAGCUAAAUACCGGCCAGAGACCGAUAGCGCACAAGUAGAGUGAUCGAAAGGUGAAAAGCACUUUGGAAAGAGAGUUAAAAAGCACGUGAAAUUGUUGAAAGGGAAGCUCUUGCUGCCAGACUCGGCCGCGGUCGCUCAAUCGUUCUUCUGAUCGGUGUACUCGUCCGCGGCCGGGCCAGCGUCGGUUCUGGCGGCCGGAUAAAGGCCCAGGGAAUGUGGCUUCCCCCCGGGGAAGUGUUUAUAGCCCAGGGUGCAAUACGGCCAGCUGGGACCGAGGACCGCGCUUCGGCAAGGACGCUGGCGU